ACUCAAAGGAAUAGACGGGGACCCGCACAAGCGGUGGAGCAUGUGGUUUAAUUCGAGGCAACGCGAAGAACCUUACCAGGCCUUGACAUGGGUAGUAUGGGGCGCAGAGACGCGCUCCUUCAGUUUGGCUGGCUACCACACAGGUGCUGCAUGGCUGUCGUCAGCUCGUGUCGUGAGAUGUUGGGUUAAGUCCCGCAACGAGCGCAACCCUCGUCCUUAGUUGCCAUCAUUCAGUUGGGAACUCUAAGGAAACCGCCAGCGUUAAGCUGGAGGAAGGUGGGGAUGACGUCAAGUCCUCAUGGCCCUUACGGCCUGGGCUACACACGUGCUACAAUGGCGGUGACAGUGGGCCGCGACUCCGCAAGGGGAAGCCAAUCCCAAAAAGCCGUCCCAGUUCGGAUUGUACUCUGCAACUCGAGUGCAUGAAGUUGGAAUCGCUAGUAAUCGUGCAUCAGCAUGGCACGGUGAAUCCGUUCCCGGGUCUUGUACACACCGCCCGU
rnacentral:rRNA from 1 species